rnacentral:rRNA from 1 species
UGCGUAGGUGGUUCGUUAAGUCUGAUGUGAAAGCCCUGGGCUCAACCUGGGAAUGGCAUUGGAUACUGGCGACCUAGAGUGCGGUAGAGGGUAGCGGAACUCCCGGUGUAGCAGUGAAAUGCGUAGAUAUCGGGAGGAACAUCCGUGGCGAAGGCGGCUACCUGGACCAGCACUGACACUGAGGCACGAAAGCGUGGGGGAGCAAACA